CGCUGUCCAGCAGGACGUCUCGUCUGCCACGUGUCGUCUGAGGAAGAUCCAGCUGCUGUGAGCCAUAUGGAUAUAUUCCAUCCCAUAAUAGCUUUGCUUCUUCCUGUGACACGGUGAAUCCAAAACAAACAGCAGCUAUCACUGCACAGAUAACAAUAUCAUACACGAGAAGAAUGCAUGAUGGGAAAUGUGUCCUGAGGAGACCCUACAUUUUCCAGGACUCUCAAUGUGUACUGAGCAAUUUGUGAACCUACUUUCCUGUCUGAGAUGAAGAACAAACGCAGCAGGUUCUUAUUACAGCAGUUUUCCUCUGUGAGCGGAGCUGAGAAGCAGAGAUCUCUCCUCAUUCUCCAGACUUCACCAUGAGACUCAGAGACGGCUGUCUUCUGCUGGGAGUCCUGCUGCUCCUCACACACACCUCACAUCAGCAGAACACUCCCAAAAAGAAGCCCAACGCUAAAAAAGACUCAGAUACUCAAGUCAGCGCUGCUUUGGAGGACCUACAACAGCAGAUCAAUGACAUUGUGGUGGAACUGAAUCUUCUAAAGGAGCAGCAGGCCCUGCAGACUG